rnacentral:rRNA from 1 species
UACGUAGGGUGCAAGCGUUGUCCGGAAUUAUUGGGCGUAAAGAGCGUGUAGGCGGUCCGGUUAGUCGGCUGUGAAAGUCAAGGGCUCAACCCUUGAAUGCCGGUCGAUACUGCCGGACUAGAGUCCGGAAGAGGCAAGUGGAAUUCCCGGUGUAGCGGUGAAAUGCGCAGAUAUCGGGAGGAACGACCAAUGGCGAAGGCGAGCUUGCUGGGACGGUACGUGGACG